AGAGUUUGAUCAUGGCUCAGGAUGAACGCUGGCGGCGUGCUUAACACAUGCAAGUCGAGCGGUGAUCCAUGCUUCGGUGUGGGGAUCAGCGGCGAACGGGUGAGGAACACGUGGGUAACCUGCCCCUGACUUCGGGAUAACACUGGGAAACUGGUGCUAAUACCGGAUAGGAGCUCCUGCUGCAUGGUGGGGGCUGGAAAGAAGUUCGGUCAGGGAUGGGCCCGCGGCCUAUCAGCUUGUUGGUGGGGUGAUGGCCUACCAAGGCGACGACGGGUAGCCGGCCUGAGAGGGUGGACGGCCACACUGGGACUGAGACACGGCCCAGACUCCUACGGGAGGCAGCAGUGGGGAAUCUUGCGCAAUGGGCGAAAGCCUGACGCAGCGACGCCGCGUGCGGGAGGAAGCCUUUCGGGGUGUAAACCGCUGUCAGGGGGGAAGAAGCGCAAGUGACGGUACCUGCAGAAGAAGCGCCGGCUAACUACGUGCCAGCAGCCGCGGUAAUACGUAGGGCGCAAGCGUUGUCCGGAAUUAUUGGGCGUAAAGAGCUCGUAGGCGGUUUGUCGCGUCCGCUGUGAAAGCCCGGGGCUCAACCCCGGGUCGGCAGUGGGUACGGGCAGACUAGAGUGCAGUAGGGGAGACUGGAAUUCCUGGUGUAGCGGUGAAAUGCGCAGAUAUCAGGAGGAACACCGAUGGCGAAGGCAGGUCUCUGGGCUGUUACUGACGCUGAGGAGCGAAAGCAUGGGGAGCGAACAGGAUUAGAUACCCCGGUAGUCC
rnacentral:rRNA from 1 species